UGGCGAGAUAGCUCAGUUGGCUAGAGCACACGGUUCAUACCCGUGGUGUCGAGGGUUCGAAUCCCCCUCUCGCUAU
rnacentral:tRNA from 5 species